rnacentral:tmRNA from 1 species
GGGGCUGAUUCUGGAUUCGACGGGAUUUGCGAAACCCAAGGUGCAUGCCGAGGGGCGGUUGGCCUCGUAAAAAGCCGCAAAAAAAUAGUCGCAAACGACGAAACCUACGCUUUAGCAGCUUAAUAACCUGCUUAGAGCCCUCUCUCCCUAGCCUCCGCUCUUAGGACGGGGAUCAAGAGAGGUCAAACCCAAAAGAGAUCGCGUGGAUGCCUUGCCUAGGGUUGAAGCGUUAAAACGAAUCAGGCUAGUCUGGUAGUGGCGUGUCCGUCCGCAGGUGCCAGGCGAAUGUAAAGACAGACUAAGCAUGUAGUACCGAGGAUGUAGGAAUUUCGGACGCGGGUUCAACUCCCGCCAGCUCCACCA